GACGGAGGAUGCAAGUGUUAUCCGGAAUCACUGGGCGUAAAGGGUCUGUAGGUGGUUUUUUAAGUCUGCUGUUAAAGCUUGAAGCUCAACUUCAAAAAUGCAUCGGAAACUAGAAGACUUGAGUAUGGUAGGGGUAGAGGGAAUUUCCAGUGAAGUGGUGAAAUGCGUAGAUAUUGGAAAGACCACCAAAGGCGAAGGCACUCUACUGGGCCACAACUGACACUGAGAGACGAAAGCUAGGGGAGCAAAUGGG
rnacentral:rRNA from 1 species